GUCAGAUGUGAAAUCCUAUGGCUUAACCAUAGAACUGCAUUUGAAACUACUACUCUAGAGUAUGGGAGAGGUAGGUGGAAUUCUUGGUGUAGGGGUAAAAUCCGUAGAGAUCAAGAGGAAUACUCAUUGCGAAGGCGACCUGCUGGAACAUUACUGACGCUGAUGCGCGAAAGCGUGGGGAGCAAACAGGAUUAGAUACCCUGGUAGUCCACGCCCUAAACGAUGAAUGCUAGUUGUUGUGGAGCUUGUCUCUGCAGUAAUGCAGCUAACGCAUUAAGCAUUCCGCCUGGGGAGUACGGUCGCAAGAUUAAAACUCAAAGGAAUAGACGGGGACCCGCACAAGCGGUGGAGCAUGUGGUUUAAUUCGAAGAUACGCGAAGAACCUUACCUAGGCUUGACAUUGAUAGAAUCUGCUAGAGAUAGCGGAGUGCUGGCUUGCCAGAGCUUGAAAACAGGUGCUGCACGGCUGUCGUCAGCUCGUGUCGUGAGAUGUUGGGUUAAGUCCCGCAACGAGCGCAACCCUCGUCCUUAGUUGCUAACAGUUUGGCUGAGCACUCUAGGGAGACUGCCUUCGUAAGGAGGAGGAAGGUGAGGACGACGUCAAGUCAUCAUGGCCCUUACGCCUAGGGCUACACACGUGCUACAAUGGGAUGCACAAAGAGACGCAAUACCGCGAGGUGGAGCAAAUCUCAAAAACAUCUCUCAGUUCGGAUUGUAGUCUGCAACUCGACUACAUGAAGCUGGAAUCGCUAGUAAUCGUGAAUCAGCCAUGUCACGGUGAAUACGUUCCCGGGUCUUG
rnacentral:rRNA from 1 species